rnacentral:rRNA from 1 species
CCUAUGGGAGGCAGCAGUGAGGAAUAUUGGACAAUGGGCGCGAGCCUGAACCAGCCAAGUAGCGUGAAGGAUGACUGCCCUACGGGUUGUAAACUUCUUUUAUAAAGGAAUAAAGUGAGGCACGUGUGCCUUUUUGUUUGGACUUUAUGAAUAAGGAUCGCCUAACUCCGUUCCAGCAGCCGAGGUAAUAUGGAGGGUCCGAGCGUUAUCCGGAUUUAUUGGGUUUAAAGGGAGCGUAGAUGGGUGGUUAAGUCAGUUGUGAAAGUUUUCGGCUCAACCGGAGAAUUGCAAUUGAUACUGGCAGUCUUGAGUACAGUUGAGGUAGGCGGAAUUCGUGGUGUAGCGGUGAAAUGCUGAGAUAUCACGAAGAACCCCGAUUGCGAAGGCAGCUUACUAAACUGUGACUGACAUUGAUGCUCGAAAGUGUGGGUAUCAAACAGGAUUAGAUACCCCAGUAGUC